rnacentral:rRNA from 1 species
AGCAUGUGGUUUAAUUCGAAGCAACGCGCAGAACCUUACCAGCCUUUGACAUCCUAGGACGACUUCUGGAGACAGAUUUCUUCCCUUCGGGGACCUAGUGACAGGUGCUGUAUGGCUGUCGUCAGCUCGUGUCGUGAGAUGUUGGGUUAAGUCCCGCAACGAGCGCAACCCUCGUCCUUAGUUGCCAUCAUUAAGUUGGGCACUUUAAGGAAACUGCCGGUGAUAAGCCGGAGGAAGGUGGGGAUGACGUCAAGUCCUCAUGGCCCUUACAGGCUGGGCUACACACGUGCUACAAUGGCAUCUACAGUGGGCAGCUAUUCCGCAAGGAUGCGCUAAUCUCCAAAAGAUGUCUCAGUUCGGAUUGUCCUCUGCAACUCGAGGGCAUGAAGGCGGAAUCGCUAGUAAUCGCGGAUCAGCAUGCCGCGGUGAAUACGUUCCCAGGCCUU